rnacentral:rRNA from 1 species
AACGAACGCUGGCGGCAUGCCUAACACAUGCAAGUCGAACGAUGCCUUCGGGCAUAGUGGCGCACGGGUGCGUAACGCGUGGGAAUCUGCCCUCUGGUACGGAAUAACUCAGGGAAACUUGAGCUAAUACCGUAUAAUGACUCCGGUCCAAAGAUUUAUCGCCUGAGGAUGAGCCCGCGUCGGAUUAGCUAGUUGGUGAGGUAAAAGCUCACCAAGGCGACGAUCCGUAGCUGGUCUGAG